rnacentral:rRNA from 1 species
UACGUAGGGGGCAAGCGUUGUCCGGAAUCACUGGGCGUAAAGGGUGCGUAGGCGGUCGGGUAAGUCUGAUGUGAAAUCUCACAGCUUAACUGUGAAACUGCAUUGGAUACUAUUCGGCUUGAGAGUUGGAGGGGGGACUGGAAUUCUUGGUGUAGCAGUGAAAUGCGUAGAUAUCAAGAGGAACACCAGUGGCGAAGGCGAGUCCCUGGACAACUUCUGACGCUGAGGCACGAAAGCUAGGGGAGCAAACAGG